rnacentral:sRNA from 1 species
UCAUUCUCUAUCUUCUAUUCAAAAAUCGAUAUUUAAA